rnacentral:rRNA from 1 species
AAACCGGUUGAUCCUGCCGGACCCGACCGCUAUCGGGGUAGGGCUAAGCCAUGCGAGUCGCGCGCCCGGGGGCGCCCGGGAGCGGCGCACGGCUCAGUAACACGUGCCCAACCUACCCUCGGGAGGGGGACACCCCCGGGAAACUGGGGCCAAUCCCCCAUAGGGGAAGGGCGCUGGAAGGCCCCUUCCCCGAAAGGGACGGCGGCCGAUCCGUCGCCGUCCGCCCGAGGGUGGGGUCACGGCCCAUCAGGUAGUUGGCGGGUUAAAGGCCCGCCAAGCCGAAGACGGGUAGGGGCGGUGAGAGCCGCGAGCCCCGAGAUCGGCACUGAGACAAGGGCCGAGGCCCUACGGGGUGCAGCAGGCGCGAAUACUCCGCAAUGCGGGCAACCGCGACGGGGCUACCCCGAGUGCCGGGCGAAGAGCCCGGCUUUUGCCCGGUCUAAAACGCCGGGCGAAUAAGCGGGGGGCAAGUCUGGUGUCAGCCGCCGCGGUAAUACCAGCCCCGCGAGUGGUCGGGGUGUUUACUGGGCUUAAAGCGCCCGUAGCCGGCCCGGCAAGUCGCUCCUGAAAUCCCCGGGCCCAACCCGGGGACGGGGGGCGAUACUGCCGGGCUAGGGGGCGGGAGAGGCCGCCGGUACUCCGGGGGUAGGGGCGAAAUCCGUUAAUCCCCGGAGGACCACCAGUGGCGAAAGCGGGCGGCCAGAACGCGCCCGACGGUGAGGGGCGAAAGCCGGGGGAGCAAAGGGGAUUAGAUACCCCUGUAGUCCCGGCCGUAAACGAUGCGGGCUAGCUGUCGGCUGGGCUUAGGGCCCGGCCGGUGGCGAAGGGAAACCGUUAAGCCCGCCGCCUGGGGAGUACGGCCGCAAGGCUGAAACUUAAAGGAAUUGGCGGGGGGGCACCACAAGGGGUGAAGCUUGCGGCUUAAUUGGAGUCAACGCCGGAAACCUCACCCGGGGCGACAGCAGGAUGAAGGCCAGGCUAACGACCUUGCCGGACGAGCUGAGAGGAGGUGCAUGGCCGUCGUCAGCUCGUGCCGUGAGGUGUCCGGUUAAGUCCGGCAACGAGCGAGACCCCCGCCCCUAGUUGCUACCCCGUCCUACGGGACGGGGGGCACACUAGGGGGACUGCCGGCGUAAGCCGGAGGAAGGAGGGGGCCACGGCAGGUCAGUAUCCGGGAGACCCCGGGGCUGCACGCGAGCUGCAAUGGCGGGGACAGCGGGAACCGACCCCGAAAGGGGGAGGCAAUCCCGUAAACCCCGCCCCAGUAGGGAUCGAGGGCUGCAACUCGCCCUCGUGAACGUGGAAUCCCUAGUAACCGCGUGUCACCAACGCGCGGUGAAUACGUCCCUGCCCCUUGCACACACCGCCCGUCGCACCACCCGAGGGAGCUCCCUGCGAGGCCCCUUGCCGAAAGGUGGGGGGACGAGCAGGGGGCUCCCAAGGGGGGUGAAGUCGUAACAAGGUAGCCGUAGGGGAACCUGCGGCUGGAUCACCU